rnacentral:tRNA from 1 species
GGGCCCGUAGCUCAGCUUGGAUUAGAGCAUCGGCCCUCUAAGCCGGAGGUCGUGGGUUCAAUUCCCUCCGGGCCCG